UCUCUCUGUUCUUCACGGAAACCGACUUAGUCAUAAACACAUACUUUAAAGUACUUAUUUUUGCUUGUAUCUCGCUUUUCGUGCUCUCAAACUUUUUUUCGAGUAGUACACCCCCUGAAACAAACCCCCAAAGCGAAAAUUUUAUUCCAUCUGAAAAUAAAUCCAACAAUGAGGUUCCGGCCGGAAAUCAAAAGCCACGCCUUAAAAACAAUCCAAAAAUUGGACGUUGAACAGCUUAAAUUUCCAUCAAUUACUCCAAAAAAGAUUGCUCUCAAUUGGUGAAUACGUCAUCAAGUAAUAUUACUUCUUAGAGAUCCAAAAAAGUUAUUGUUCACAAUAUUGAUUCAAAUCAGGAUCCCCUUCUUGAAAUAAACAUAAAUAUAAUGUUC
rnacentral:lncRNA from 1 species